rnacentral:rRNA from 1 species
GUCUAACAUGUGCGCGAGUCGCAGGGUUGACUCGCAAGUUGAAACCCGAAGGCGAAAUGAAAGUGAAAGUCGGUGCGUCUGGCCGACUGAGGCGGGAUCCGUCCGGGUAUCGCUGUAGCCCUUGAGGGGGCUGCGGGAGCCCGGCGGCGCACCGCCGGCCCGUCUCGACCGCUUCCUGUCGGCGAGGCGGAGCAAGAGCGCACACGUUGGGACCCGAAAGAUGGUGAACUAUGCUCGGGCAGGACGAAGCCAGAGGAAACUCUGGUGGAGGUCCGUAGCGAUUCUGACGUGCAAAUCGAUCGUCGGACCUGAGUAUAGGGGCGAAAGACUAAUCGAACCGUCUAGUAGCUGGUUCCCUCCGAAGUUUCCCUCAGGAUAGCUGGUGCUCGGUGAGGAACGCAGUCUCAUCCGGUAAAGCGAAUGAUUAGAGGCCUUGGGGCCGAAUCGACCUCAACCUAUUCUCAAACUUUCAAUGGGUGAGAAGUCCGGCUUGCCUGACUGAAGCCCGGACCAAAUCUGAUCCGACAGGGUGUCGAUCUGACAGUGUUGUCGGGGAGUAAAAUCCUCGGCAACCUGGCUGCGGCCCUGCUCGGUACGGAUGCGAGUGCCCAGUGGGCCAAUUUUGGUAAGCAGAACUGGCGCUGUGGGAUGAACCAAACGCCGGGUUACGGCGCCCGAUGCGGACGCUCAUCAGACCCCAUGAAAGGUGUUGGUUGCUAUAGACAGCAGGACGGUGGCCAUGGAAGUCGGAAUCCGCUAAGGAGUGUGUAACAACUCACCUGCCGAAGCAACUAGCCCUGAAAAUGGAUGGCGCUCCAGCGUCGAGCCGAUACCCGGCCGCCGGGGCAGAGACUUUGUGGCGAUCCUACAAAAGAAAUGCCCCGGUGAGUAGGAGGGUCGCGGCGGUGUGCGUCGAAGGUGUCGGGCGUAGGCCCGCCUGGAGCCACCGCCGGUGCAGAUCUUGGUGGUAGUAGCAAAUACUCGAGUGAGAACCUUGAGGACUGAAGUGGAGAAGGGUUCCAUGUGAACAGCAGUUGAACAUGGGUCAGUCGGCCCUAAGGAAUAGGGGAAACCCGUUCCGAAGCGGGGUGUUCGUGCAACACGACCCCGGCUGACCGAAAGGGAAUCGGGUUAAUAUUCCCGAACCCGGAUGCGGAAGUCGGACCCUUCGGGGUCCAAUGCGGUAACGCAAACGAACUCGGAGACGUCGGCGGGAGUCCCGGGAAGAGUUGUCUUUUCUUUGUAAGGGACGGACUCCCUGGAAUCGGCUCGACCGGAGAGAGGGAUGUUGUUCCCGUAAAGCACCGCGGCUCUUGCGGUGUCCGGAGCGCUCCCGCCGGCCCUUGAAAAUCCGAGGGAGAGAAUUUGAUUUUCGCACCGGACCGUACCCAUAUCCGCAGCA